GAGUUUGAUCGUGGCUCAGAACGAACGCUAGCGGCGCGCCUAACACAUGCAAGUCGAGCGAGAAAGGGAGCAAUCCCCGGUACAGCGGCGCACGGGUGAGUAACACGUAGGUAAUCUGCCUCCGAGUGGGGGAUAACCUUCCGAAAGGAGGGCUAAUACCGCAUGAGACCACGCCUUCGAGAGGAGGAGGGGUCAAAGCCGGCCACUAUACAUAAGCUGGCGCUUGGAGAUGAGCCUGCGGCCCAUCAGCUUGUUGGUAGGGUAACGGCCUACCAAGGCAAAGACGGGUAGCUGGUCUGAGAGGAUGAUCAGCCACACUGGAACUGAAACACGGUCCAGACUCCUACGGGAGGCAGCAGUGGGGAAUAUUGGACAAUGGGCGCAAGCCUGAUCCAGCGACGCCGCGUGAGUGAUGAAGGCCUUCGGUUGUAAG
rnacentral:rRNA from 1 species